CUACGGGAUGCAGCAGUGAGGAAUCUUCCACAAUGGACGAAAGUCUGAUGGAGCGACACCGCGUGAAGGAUGAAGGCCUAACGGUUGUAAACUUCUUUUCAGAAGGAGCAUAAUGAGAGUACUUCAGGAAUAAGGGACGGCUAAAUACGUGCCAGCAGCCGCGGUAAUACGUAUGUCUCGAGCGUUACCCGGAAUCACUGGGUGUAAAGGGUUCGUAGGCUGUUAAAUAAGUUGGAUAUGAAAGACCGGAGCUCAACUCCGUGUUGGUGUUCAAAACUGUUUAACUAGAAUCAGGGAGAGGUAAGUGGAAUUCUGUGUGUAGGGGUGCAAUCCGUAGAUACACAGAGGAACACCAAAAGCGAAGGCAACUUACUGGAACUGUAUUGACGCUCAUGAACGAAAGCGUGGGGAGCGAAAAGGAUUAGAUACCCUCGUAGUC
rnacentral:rRNA from 1 species